rnacentral:rRNA from 1 species
GGUUAAGUUAGAAAGGGCGCACGGUGGAUGCCUUGGCACUAGGAGCCGAAGAAGGACGGGACUAACACCGAUAUGCUUUGGGGAGCUGUACGUAAGCGUUGAUCCAGAGAUUUCCGAAUGGGGGAACCCACUAUCUUUAGUCGGAUAGUAUCCUUACGUGAAUACAUAGCGUGAGGAAGGCAGACCCAGGGAACUGAAACAUCUAAGUACCUGGAGGAAGAGAAAGAAAAAUCGAUUUCCUGAGUAGCGGCGAGCGAAACGGAAAGAGCCCAAACCAAGAAGCUUGCUUCUUGGGGUUGUAGGACACUCUAUACGGAGUUACAAAAGAAAGUUAUAAAUGAAGCGGUCUGGAAAGGCCCGCCAAAGACGGUAACAGCCCGGUAGUUGAAAUGGCUUUCCCUCCAGAGUGGAUCCUGAGUACGGCGGAACACGUGAAAUUCCGUCGGAAUCCGGGAGGACCAUCUCCCAAGGCUAAAUACUCCCUAGUGACCGAUAGUGAACCAGUACCGUGAGGGAAAGGUGAAAAGCACCCCGGAAGGGGAGUGAAACAGUUCCUGAAACCGUGUGCCUACAAGUAGUUAGAGCCCGUUAAUGGGUGAUAGCGUGCCUUUUGUAGAAUGAACCGGCGAGUUACGAUUUGUUGCAAGGUUAAGCGGAAAAAGCGGAGCCGUAGCGAAAGCGAGUCUGAAUAGGGCGCAUAAGUAACAGGUCGUAGACCCGAAACCAGGUGAUCUACCCAUGUCCAGGAUGAAGGUAAGGUAAUACUUACUGGAGGUCCGAACCCACGCACGUUGAAAAGUGCGGGGAUGAGGUGUGGGUAGCGGAGAAAUUCCAAUCGAACUUGGAGAUAGCUGGUUCUCUCCGAAAUAGCUUUAGGGCUAGCCUCGAGGUAAAGAGUCAUGGAGGUAGAGCACUGUUUGGACUAGGGGCCCUUCUCGGGUUACCGAAUUCAGAUAAACUCCGAAUGCCAUGUACUUAUACUCGGGAGUCAGACUGCGAGUGAUAAGAUCCGUAGUCGAAAGGGAAACAGCCCAGACCACCAGUUAAGGUCCCCAAAUAUAUGUUAAGUGGAAAAGGAUGUGGGGUUGCUUAGACAACCAGGAUGUUGGCUUAGAAGCAGCCACCAUUGAAAGA